GGCCGUCGUCACGUUCGUACUGUGAAGCAUCCUGUUAAGUCAGGCAACGAGCGAGACCCACGUCCACAGUUGCCAGCAUACCCUCCGGGGUGAUGGGUACACUGUGGAGACCGCCGCUGCUAAAGCGGAGGAAGGAGUGGGCAACGGUAGGUCAGUAUGCCCCGAAUCUCCCGGGCUACACGCGGGCUACAAUGGUUGGUACAAUGGGCAUCUACCCCGAAAGGGGAAGGAAAUCUCUUAAAGCCAAUCGUAGUUCGGAUUGAGGGCUGCAACUCGCCCUCAUGAAGCUGGAAUCCGUAGUAAUCGCGUUUCAACAGAACGCGGUGAAUACGUCCCUGCUCCUU
rnacentral:rRNA from 1 species